GUAAUGAGGAUUUAUUUCCAUUUUAUCACUUCUGUCACGUCUGCUUUUUCCCCUCUGCGUUAUUUUAUUAUUAUGGCUGAAAUUGAUUGCCAUAACCGAGCAGGCCGCUAAAUCCCAUCCUUUCAUCCUCCCUCCCUCCAGCUCCCUUGAGCCCUUUCCUCUCAACCUUGUCUCUUUCUGCUCAGCAUCCUUUCCCUGGGCCGCCUCCUCCUGCUGUGGUAUGUUAACGGGAAAGAAAAACUCAUUUGAAACAAUUUACGAGGUGACUCAGCAAUCUGUGUUCUCCUAAUGGUGGGGCCAGCCUGGAGGCCAAAGCAGCCACCAGUUUGGGUGCUCUGUGAUGAGGCAGGAUCUCCUCAUCCUACUGUCUACAGAACUGCUUUCUGGAGUAGCUCCUGUUCCUGGAGAUGAGAGAAGAUGAGGGAGGGCCCUGAGAAGGCUCCAACACAGGAAAGAGGGUUCCCGAUGGGGCAAGCCCCAGCUGGUUUUAGAAAGAUGUCGCUUCAGGGCCUGGGAAAAUUGCCCAUUCAGAGUGAGUUGGACCCUGGAUGACUGCUGAGUCGGCUCUCUCCGUGUUGUGAGAACUUUGAAAAUGUGCUCGUCUAUAUUUCCUGUAUCUUGGAAGCCUGAGCCUCCAAGUGCAGCCUUAGAGAAUGAGAAACCACUGUGGUUUUUGGUUGGCAGCAAGAAGGCCCCUCAACCCCAGGAAAGGAAAGGAAGGACUUAAUGUUUCUUAACUCCAUAAAUCUGGCUUCAUUAUUAAAUCACUGCAACCUGAUUCAGGUGUAUUUUGUGAAACUACUGGAGGCUGCUUCUCUGGCUCCCAAGCCAUCAAAAGAGAUGCCCAGGGCCCUCUAGGUAGACCAGAGCUCAUGGGAAAAGAGAAGAGAUCUUCAGAAAGAAGUCAAGGGGUUGACUAGGAGAAAGCUAUUGGCAUCCUGCAGGCCUGGGUUUGAAUCCUGGUUCUGCCACCUUUUAGCUAUAGAAGAUUCCACCUACCGGAGAGCUCAAAGUUGGGCGAAGGUACAUGAAAUCAGAAUUCAUCCUACUGUUCCAGUAAGAUGUCACAUCCAAUAUCUCACCACUGACGCUUCAAGAACAGAUGAGAUGGGCUCUGACGGCCAAAACAGCUUGCAAGGACCACCUGGCUUGCUGUCCUCUACACUCUGACUAAGGAUAAGAAGUCACGAGUCUUAUCCUUAUCUUUGCAUCCUCCCCAACCCCACCUCUCUUUGACUCUAGGGUCCAUCGUUCCUAUUAAUGUGACCUCUCCUGGCACUGAUAUAAGAUUUUCUUAACUUAUUCUCCUGGGAAUUUCUCUUAACCCAAUAUGCUUCUCAAUUUAACUCAACUCACGUGACCCUUGACCUUUUUCUACCCAUAUCUUCUUUCUGUGGCAAAUUCCAAGACCCAGCUGAAAUAUGUUCUUCUCUAUAAGACCUUCCCUAUUUCCUCCAGGUCAAUUUAAAUGUUCUCACGGCACGCUUUCAAAGUCCAUUCUUACCAAAGUACUUUGUAGUUUAGAAGUUUAUAUAUGUUUCCAUCUAUUGCCAGACUAGGAAAUUGUCCCUGUAGAUUUCAGCACUAGGUGCAUAGCUGGAC
rnacentral:lncRNA from 1 species